rnacentral:sRNA from 1 species
AGGUGAAGUCUUUGUGGAGGGAGGACUGGUGAGGGUCGGGUAUGAGCACGGAUGCUAAGCAAGCAAUGGACUGACAGACUCCCCCAGGCCUGAAGAUUUGUCCCAGCAAUAAAAGUUAUGAAAGAGGCUUUUUUUGGAGAAAGGCUGUUGGGAGAACUCAGAGCCUCCACAGUGAUUGUGGAGGAAGACCAGCACCACAGUGUACAAUGCCUAUUAAGCUCUCAACUAGGACCCCCCCCCCCCACCAUUCUGUAAGCAAGAACAAAGGUGAUUGGAAGGGUUUGUGAAGUCCUUUCUGGCUGUGGAAGGUGAUGUAUAAAUAACCCUAAGAAAUGGGUCCUAUUUCAGACCUCAGUUCAUAAGAGCAUCGACAAUUCUGAAUCUUAAGAUAGUGUUUGCAGCCAGCCUUGGAAACGCAGAGCCUUGACAAAUGAAGCAACAGAUAUGUGGAUGGACAAGGGAAUGGCGGUAUGAGUUUGUCAUAAGCUCUGGCUGGGGUUGCAGGUGUGGGAGGAGAGACUCACAGUGCGAGCCUUCAUAGAAGACAGGCCUGGAUUUGAAUCCCAGGCCAGCCACUUACAAGCUGUGUGACAUGCGGACAGGCUAUUUAACUUCUCCGAGCCUCCCUUUCCUCAACUUUGUCCAUGCCAAAGAUCUCAAGUUCAAGUGAUGCUACCUUCGCUUCCUUGCACGGGGCUGGUUAUUAUACAGCCCUGUAAUGGUGGGCUAGCUUAAGAGGACAGGGUUUGGGAGCAGCUUCCCCGGCACAUGGAGCCUGGUUUGCUCAGUUAGUGGAAAGUUUGGGAAAAGGGGAGAACUGAGGGGAGGCCCAUCACCUAGACACACACCUGCUCUUCACUACUCAGGGGCUUUAGAGGCCCAAUCGGAAAUACUAAAUAUAUAACCAGGGCAUGACUGGGGUGCUUGACAGCAGAGGGAAGGAGGGUCUUCUGGGAGCCAGGUCUUGGGGAACAACAGUGAGGGGAUGGGGUGGGGGACACAUGUGUGGCAUACCAACAUCCAUGAUGAUGCCAGCAGUGAGCAAGGAGGGAGAGGUUGGUCUCUAUGCUGCAGGCACAGAGCCAGUGGCGUGUAGAUAAUCUAGGCCUCCUCUUAAAGAUAGUGGCCCUGGAGUCCAGUGCAUGUCCGCCAGGUCCAGUUUCUGAGCAGACUCUCGCACGGCAAGUGGGGCCCUGGUGUGGUCAUGAGGAAGGCACAGGAAAUGCUCACAGGAACUGCAGAGAGCAGUGCCAGGGUGGAGCUCCUACUGAAGUCUCCUACUGAAGCAAGGUGCCACGUGUCAUACUGUUUAGCAACAAAGGCUUUCUGGAUUCCCCUGACCUGUAGAGCCAGCCCACCCCAGCCUGACCUCCACAACUGCUUCUCCUCUUGAUGCUUGCUAUGCCAAGCUCCUCUCGAGUUCUCAGUCUCAUGUUCCCCACAUUAUCCCCGGGAGUCCUCUUCCAAUGCUUGGCCUUUUCUUCCUGAGGCUCCCCUGUUGGGCCUGGGAUCUUGGCUUGCUUCUCUCUGACCUGUAGUGUCUCUGUGUCUGCGGUAGCCCUCCGUCCCCACCCAUGCCAAUAAGACAUGAAAUCUCAGCCCUGUGUAGUCAGAUACCCUCUGCUUCCUGUUGGGGUGACAGAGAGCUACCAAAGGUCACACAGUGUGACUGACUGUAGCUAGGGCAGGCUCUGUGACCAUGGCUUAUUCCAGAGUUGCCUGAAGCCUUCAUCCUCCUCUGUCUGGCAACUCUACAUCUGUCCCCCAUGUUAAUCAGUGGAAACUCGCAUUGGAUUUCUCAGCCCGCUUUUGGCCAGCUUGCUCCUGUGAUACCAACUCUCAAUUUUUCCUCCCUUAUCCCAAGGCCAAAGUCACGUUAGUUGUAUGAGGAAGUGCUUUCUCAUUGCCUCCCGGUAGCACUCAUUCUAAAAUUUGCUAGAAAGGUCUUUCUUCUGACUAAAGUUGACCCUUCCUCAGGGAGAUUAUACCAUUUAACGCCCACCCCCUUUAAAUGUCUUCCUCGCCCACUGCCAGCUCUUCUGCUGGCUCUGACUCGCCACUUGAUACUCUAUGACAAUGGCCUGUCACCACUCCCCUUAUACAAGUCAAAGUUCUUACAAGUACUGUUUGCACCUGUGUCUGGGGGUCCCCUGCCCCUUCUCAGCCGUUAUGACUCGGGUACUCUCUGUUGACCCUUUGGACUGAAUCGUGACUUUUGCAUCGCAAGCCCGCUGGCCUCCAUUUCUCAGUUCUAAGGUGAGCAAGGCUCGCCCACGCAGAGCUGGUGGCGCAGUGCUCUCCUGCCUCUCCUUCCAGUAACAGUGCCACCUCCAUCUUUGCCUGUGCUUCUUCUCUGGCUGGCGAUAUCCAGUCCCCGUCCCCUCUGGUCUGCCUCACUGGACCACUGGGGGAGCUCGCAGGCAUCUUGCAGAAGCAACCGGCAGCUUGUAUUUGCAGUGCGGCCUGAGUCUGUUGCUUUUCUUGCCUGAGGUAACUCCACACCUCUGUCUUUUUUCCCUUUAUUACCUGUGGUCUUGGUAAAUACUGUCUCUGACCACUGGAGGCCCACGUUAUAUGGGGGCCUUGACCAGUGCUCAGCCCAGCUGGCCACGCUCACAGCUCCUUCUCGUUUUGGUGACUCCUCUUAUGUUGUCAGUUGUCCUGCUGAUUUCCCCUUGGGACUGCUUGGAAGGGCUCUUCUUGUAUGCCCAUCUGCGUUCCCUCCAACUCACAGCCUCUUUACAGCAGCCACCUCCUACCUCUUUGGGACCUCAUUGGGACCUCAGUUUACCCACAGCACAGCUGACAGGGUCACUAAGAAUGCAGAUCUGAUCAUGCUUUCCCUCUUUAAAAUCCUCUAGGUGACAGGAUAAAGUGUGAACUCCUCAGUGGGGGUGUCCAAGGGCCCUUCCCAUCACACAGUGCUCCUGAGAAUGGGGUUCAAAGAGACCCUAUUUCUCAACCUAGCAACAUUUGUGCUGUGUGUCUUCGAGGGAGUGGCGUAACCUUUAUGAGUCUCUGAAUUAUGUAAGGAUAAUACGCCUGCCUCCCUAGAAUGAAGUCACGUACAUGUUUGUCUGUCUGGAUUCUCUGCUGGCAUCUGCCUCACUUGUAGGCACACAGUGAGUGGGGCUCACUGUUUCUAUUCCGCUCUCCUGUCCACUCUUCCUGGUAGCUUUGCACCCCAUGUCUGCCCCCUGCUACCUGCACCGGAGGGGGCGGUCCUUCCUAGGAGUGGACAUUUUCCCAUCCCCAUCCAUAUAUAAGCCCCAGGCCCAUCCUUCACCCACUCCAAGCUCAUGCUUAGUCCAGCAGUUUCCUCUUCUUAACUCCCCUAACUGUUUAAGGUGUUUCUCAGGAGUUAUACGUCAGAAAUACCUCAGAGGUGCUGUUCCUAGACGGCCUUCCAAGACCUUCACUUCCCUAUCUGGCAAUUAUAUUUCAGUCAAGUGUUAUUGCCUGGGCAAACAGACUCUCUAGGACAGGGAUCAUGUCUUAUUUAUCUCUAUAUCCCUAGGGCCCAGCAGUGUCCUUGAACAUGCUAGGCUAUCAUAGAUCCUUGAAAAUGAGCCAUUUCAAACUUGGCAAUGUUUCUAGGUGGCAUUCAAACUUCUGCUCAAUUGUUUCUUAUUCACUUUUCUGCUCCUCUUGGCGGCAAGGAACUGUCAGCUCAACUUUAUAUGAAGGGACUGUCAUGUCAGCUCAACUUUAGAAGGGCAAGUCACCCAGGGCAAAGCCCAUUGCAGCGCGGUGACCUGGAGAACUGGAAACGGAAAACUCAGAGCGCCCAUUACCGACUGCUUGGCUAGUCCCAGUAAGGAAGGAACUGCUAAUUGGUGACACCGAGUUCUAUCCAAUCUUUGUCCCACUUGAGCCCGGUGGCCUCAGAGGGAUCCUGGGUUGGCCUUAGAUGUCCCAGGAUAGGGUUGGAGGAAGGUGGUACUCAUGGGUGAAGGGAGGCUGCACUGAAAAUUUGAAAGAUGAGGAGGGACAGAGCCACAUUGGAGAGUGAAGUGAGGCCUCCUAUUCCAGCUGCCUGGGGUUCUCAGGAGGUGUGGGAAUCCUCUAUUUGCCUCUGUGUUCUCCCACAUACAAUUUGCUCCAGGGGCUAUUAAGCCUCCACCCUGGACUUUGAUUUUGUUUUAAAGGGUCCGAGAGUCUCUGGGAUGAAUGGUCAGCUCUCUGACCACUGCUAGGCCUAGUCCUUUGGGGAUCUCUUCAGCUUUGCCAUCUGGCUAAGCCUCCUUGCCAGACUCCACUCUAUGGGGGCAAUUAUAUCAUCUUCUAUGUUGCUAGACAUGACUGGUUUUUGCUGCUUGGGUCUCUAGCAGAGGUGAGGGGAAGAUGGCAAGCCUCAAUCUCUAUUGUCUAUCUUUAUGUCUACUGUCUUGCAAGGCCCUGGUGGUGAGAUAGCCUCUGGCCACAGUGGGAAGGCCAGGCUAUCUCCUGCCCUGGAACGAGCAGCUAGGGCAGCUGGUCCUUAGGAAAGGGGCAUCAGGUUUUCAGCCCAGUAUCCUCUCGAAUGUUCACUCUCUUCCAAAUCUUACUGGCAGCAGAGGGAUGUGGGGAAGUGGGAUGUGGGGGGAAGAGGGGCUGAAGAGUCAGGAAUUUUGUGCCUCGGGUUCUCUUUUUAGACACCUUUCUCCAUGUCAGAGCUUUACUACCUUCCAAUAUGCUAAGAAGUGAGACAGGUCUAGAUGCUUCAAAAUACUCAGGAUCUCGAGGGAAGCCCCUCCUUUCGGUAGCUGUUUCUAAGAGCAGCUUUAAUCCAAAUUCACUUCCUCUGCCUUCCCAACACUCUGAAUGUCCAAGACAGAGACUCAAACAUUCUCCAGUCCCUCUGAGGCCUGAGUGUUUGAGUAUUUAAAGGGAUCUCAGCUCUAACGGAUUGUCACACUUAGACACAUCAGCUCUUCCUGCUGGGGCAGUCAGGUUUCUGGGCAUGGGGGAGGAGGCCUUUUCUCUGGAGGUCGUUAGGGAGGACACAAGUUCUCUUCUCUGCAGGGUGCCCGACUGACUCUGCAGGGUGCUAGAGUGCUUGCUGGGGCAUGGUGUCUGAACCAGCUGGUCCUCAGCAGACGUCUCCUUUGAGAAGUCUGAUUUCUUCCGUUCAGCAGGUCCAUAAACAGUGAACCAGGGAAGUGCCUGCUAGCAGAUCCACUCAUCAGUGGAAGGCUUUAAACCCUCUUGGCUUCUUGACAUGGGCCUUGUUCCUAUCUUGUUGGCACACACAUUCCCUAUCUUUCUCUCAUAAUCUUUCUCUUUAAAGUGAGAGUUUGUCUUAGUGUUCUUUAAAGAAGUCACAAGACAAGGCAGAGCGGACAAGUCCUCCCCCCCACCCCCAGAUUACUUUGUUAAGUAGGUCCUUCCCCAGAUCCCAUUAAGCUAGAACAUUAAAUUUGACAGCAACUCCUUGAGUAGCUUCUCUUUUCUACCUGUAAAGCAUCUGUAGCUACGGCUGAGGUUCUGGACGUAAGCAUCUAAGCACGUAAGCCACAGAGUGAGCUAACGGGAACUGGGCUGAGAUUCCAUUUAUCUGAUGGGUGAUGGAAAGAAAAGACUCUGUAGAAGCUGGUCCUCAAAGGCCCCACCUGGGGAACCUGGGUAGGGAAUUUAAAGGGAAUCACCAGCCUCUGUGGUUUGAAAGAGGUGGUGGUUGCUAUGGGGUCCUCAAAUCAAUAUUCUUAAAAUUGAUUUAUUGAAAAUGCUUCCUAGUCCAAAAAUAUUUUAGAGUAAGGAGAGGCAGAGGGCCUAAGUUACUGAUAUGUGUUCAUUCAUUCAUUCAUUCAUUCACUCAACCGGUAUGUUAAAAGCACCUACUAUGUGCGUGGUGCUGCUUUGGUACUGAGAUGAAUAAAACAAAGGCAUGACUGCCCUCUGGAGCUUGUAACUAAGACAGUGACCAGAAGCUUGUGCAACACAGGAAGAGGUUGGCUGGCUAGACUUUCAUCUCCACUUGCAUCUUGAUUUUUUUCUGCAGUGGAUAUUAUUGUCUUCUAGUUGUCUAAUUGUUGUAUAAAGAAAGCUCAAAAACAUUUUACACAAGGACAUACGAUGGGACCUUUAAAAAAGAUAGCCCCACUCUGACUUAGAGCUCUCAGGACACAGUCUUAUUCUGUUUUAGGUGACUUGGUCCUAAUUCAACCCUUCUUUGAAUGUUCCUGAACUUUUUUUAGUUGUUGGUUCUGUGAGUCUGAGAAGUACAGCCACUGUAUUCUCAUUGUGUACGGCUCUCACUGUGGCUGCAUCCCAGUGGACUAUCCCCACUGAGAAAUGGUGACAGAACUGGAGCUAUGAAAGACCUGGUUUUGGUUAAAGAGCAAACUUAAGUUUGCAUCCAACUCCAAUGGAAUCAGAUGGCUUUUAGUUUAGUCAUGAUUAAAUGCGCCGGUAAGCAGAGCUAAUCCCCUACUUUCCUGCCAGCGCUGUCUGUCUGUCCCUGCUUUCCGGGUUUUCCGUAAAUCAGAGCUGAAGGACACAACUUUAGACUAAGGUACUCUGACACUUGAUGUGUCAAAGUGACUGUGGUUGCAUCUGUACCGAUGGGCCAAAUAGAGCAGGGAAAGGACCUCCAUGGGCUGAGAAGCUAGUCCCAGGGAAGGGAUUAUGGAAAUGAAGCUUAACUGGGCCCAACAGGGCCCAGAUGGGUUCAGAGAAGAAGCACUCACAUUUUUCAAGACAGGGGUAGAUUAAACUCUCCAGUGGAAUCAGAUGGCAUCAUUGUGAGAUGUUUAUACUCAUAGAGCUACAAAGUGAUACUAUACCACAUGCCGCCAGUUCAUAGCUAGGGUUCAUCCUCUGGACUCUGGGGGUUUAGGGGAAAUGCUUGCACAAUUUCCCUAUCAAUUAAGUAGCAUGCCCCUUACUAUUUUGCUCAGCAAAAGAGUAGUUAUAAGUCCAACUUUUUUUGUUGAGCAAUCUUAAUUGUGUGUGUGUGUGUCUGUGUGUCUGUCUGCCUGCCUGUCUUUUGAGACAUCUCGGUCCUUGGCUUGGCCACUCCACCUUCUGUGAGAUGCACAGCACAUUAACUGGCUCUGGCUGCUACCUGGUCAGGGUGGGUGAGUCGGAAAAGAAGCCCUACCCCUGACUUUUACUCAGAUGAUACAAAAUGAGACAUGACACACGGCGUGUACCUCCAAGGUGAAGGCUAGAGACUGGUUUCAUCUACUCCAUGUGCUGCCAAAGACCUAUAUCGCUCCUGGAACCAAAACCUCCCUUAUACUUUAGGAAAGGUAAAAGUUGAUUUGUAGUUGGGCGUGAACACAUAGGGGUAGCAGUUGUGGGCAGCUGUUAGGGGUCCUUAGGGGUUUUGCCAGGUUUAUCCACGGGGAAUCCAGAAAUCCUUGAAGUAACUUCUAGAGAUUAGUGCAAACAAGAAAUCUUCUGCCUAUCUGGGGUCUUGGUAUCCACUAAGUUCUGCACGUAAUUUGAGUGGCAAGAGAGGCAAGAAAGAAGUCAGCUCAUUAAAUUAAUGAUUUACUGAGCAACAAUUCUUUUUCAAAGUUGAAAUUGUUUUUUAAUGGUAAGGAAACAUUAAAUCCAUUUAUCCAUCCAACAACUAUUUAUUGAGAACAUAUCAAGUCUUUUGGCCCAAGAGGUGGGAUUAAGAAAAGUAGCAACCUCACCUUUCCCCUCAACUCCCCCAAGGAAGAGCAGUGUAUGUUUUAAAACUAUGAACAAGGGAGAGAAAACAGGAACUGCCUUUGAUGCAGCAAAACUGGGAGGAAUCUCUGAAACAUGGGAAGGCUGCGGGUCUGUUUCUGAAGGAAGCAUUGCUUCAGACCAUUUAUGCAUGUGAAGAAUGUGUCCUGGGCUCGUGACAGACAAGGGUAGAAGACCCCAGAGCACACGAUGGAGUGAGUGGCUGUGGCUGCCAGGACAGUCAGAUAGUGACUGUCCCAUAACCCCCCUUGAUCCAGAUUUUUCAGACCUUGAGGUCGUGGGGUCCAAGUGGAACUCUUCAGUCUAUGUAAGCCAGAAGACAGACACCCCUGCUGCCUCCUGACUCUACCAGUGACAGGCACCUUGCCUAUAUCGGACAGAAGGAAGCAAAAGUUGCUCCCAGUGCACACAGUACCUUUCUCCUGGUUGCAAAGCUCACAGGGCCUUUUCUGUACACAAGCACUGAGGAUGUACUGCCUAACCAGAGUUUGCGGAAGAGGAAAAGGUGAUAGUGUAAGCAGAAGGAAGCUUUGAAAUAAACGUGGCUAGCAAAUACACAGAGAGACCUCGGGAACUAAACGGCUCAACAUGGAAAACCAGCAGAUCUGCUCAGAUGGCAGAGUGAAUAGAACUGAAGAGAGAGAAUCUGUGGAAACAAAGCAGGAUUCUCUUUGACUGUGGGAGAAGAUGAGGAGGUAGAGGACUGGGAAGUUCAGAGUCGAGAUGGGAAGGAUGGCUGGCCAGAUCAACAUUUCUCUGUAAGGAGUUUUAGAGAGGUGGGUGGAGGAGAGAAGUAAAAGCAGAAGCAGCAGAAAUGAAACAAGAUAAAAAUCCAAGCAUAAAGCACGACCAGGUAGCCAAGUAGUGUGCUUAAGGACAUAACCAUGUCCGAACACAUCAUGGUGCCAAGAUGACGUGAGAGAGAGAUGGUUGGGGCAGGAAGAGCACGCAAGAAGCGCGUGCAGUAACAUGUAGACUGAACAGGAGGAAACGUGACAACUGACCUUCCACAGUGUCCCUGCCAAAGAGCAACAGAGCCUCAAAAGUCAGCUGGGGUGAGGAAGAUAUUGGGCCUGGUCCAUCAACAUGAUGACCAAUUUGUGACUGAAAAGUUCUGUUCGGUAACAUGGGUUUGCAGUCUAUCGUUCCUUGACUUGCACAUACCAAAUCACUAAAAGUCACUAUUUAAAAGCAAAACACUGGAAAUAGGGGUCUAGAGAUCACUCUGCUAGUUGUACACCCUUGUGCUUUACAGACGGCAAAGCAAAGCAGCCGGGUGGUGGCCGAGGAGACAUGAACUGAGUUGUGUUCAGGAUCAGUGGCUAGACUGCAGCAGUGCUGGUAAAAGGUCUUAGUCUCCAGCAAUCUUGCAGGUGCACUGUAUGCAUUCAAACCGGAGAAUAGACUUGUCUCUUGCUUAGCACUGAGAAUUAGGAGAAGCGGAGAGAGAGCUCCGUGUUUAAGAAUGCAGACUGUUCUUGCAGGGGACCUGAGUUCAGUUCCCAGCAUCCACAUCAGGUGGCUCAUACAACUGUACAUCCUGGUCCAGGAGAUCCGACGCCCCCUUCUGACUCUCCAGGGCAGGAACAUUCAUGCGUGUGCACACACAGGCACAUGUACAUGUAAAAUAAUAAAAGAUACCUUGGGAAAAAAGUUACAGUUGCCUGCCUGGAAUGGUGCUUUGUUAGAUGUUUACUGUCCAUUAAAUUCACUUCGGAGCACCUAGAUAAAAGACUGGAAUAAUUGUCUCUCCCAAGAUGAAGUUGUGGUUUGCAGUAAAUAUACCUCAAUAUCUUAUUGAAUAAAGCAUAGAGGCAGACCUGAGUGCCUAGGACCAUAGGUGCAUAGAGAACUGAACAGAGGCAUUAAGAGAGGCCUCGUAUUGGACCCAGUGGCUUGGCAUCCUGGGGCAUGGCCAGCCCUACUGGAUGGGGACAGGGGUCAGGCAGAAAGUGGUUCUGGGAGACUUGGGGCCUAUUUGGGGAGGCUGUUGUUUCUGGAAGCUGGUCCGGGGCAGAUCCCCGGCCUGCCUCUUAGGCACCCCACUGUGUGUGGGAGGCUGUGAGUGAAAAGGAGGCUUGUCUGGUUGCAUUUGCCAGGGUCCCAGUAAGGGCACAUGUCCUUCCGGAUCCCUUAGGAAGCCUCUCCAGAGAUUAGGAUUCAGAAACAACUUUUUAAAAAUGAAAAUGAUUCUUCCCCUUCAAACGUUUGCCCUUGCCUACUGUUUGCUGCGUUUGGGAGAGAGCCACGCGAGGCUGUGUUUCCAGCUUGAGUUCGUACUUCCCUGCUGGUUUCUGCAACUCACAGCUGGUCCCAGCUCUUCACUUUGUCCUCACCUGUCCAGAUGUUAGGGUGAGCAGACACUGUGCUUCACCGGUUGUGUUCCAAGUUGUACCACGAACCUGACCAGUAUUUUGUUUUACAAGUGUAGAAGGAGACCUCAGAGCCACGAUGUGUCCUGUCCUAGCUGCAGGCAGAAUCAACUUGAAAGCAGUUCCCUUAGCUAAUAUAAUUCAUCACCUCCUUUGGGUUUUUGUUUUUUAAGCACUCCUCAGGAAGCAGUUGGCUACAGUAAUGACCAGGAAGGUUUACCCUCAUUUCUAGCUGUCCCUGAAGACCCACUAUGACUUAGAACAGUACUGGAAUCAGGAUUAUCCCAUCUAUCUACGAGGACUGAAUAUGUGAUCUUGGUCUCCGGCCAUCUUUGCCCUCCUGGUUAUUGUAGUUGCUAUAAAGCGUUUCACGUUGCCUGUUAGUGUCAAGGUCAACCCUCCGGCUUAUCGUGCGUGCUUCAUGUGCCUUGUCCCCACUGAAAAGCCUCUGAGUACAACAAGAGGAUACUGCAUGGUAGAUGCACGGUAGUUGGUGAGACUGGCAAAAUGGAGUUGGAAGAUGAGAGGGGCUACCUUGUAGGAUGGAUACGCAGAAGCGCCAGUCUCCAGAUGCUUAUCUCUAAUAUUUCCCUUCCAGUGCACAUGGGUGAGGGGAGGGGCCAAUUCCAGAGGGCACAUCUCUUCAAGCCUGACUUGACAUCAAGGCAGAUUAUUUUUACUGGUAUUUACAUUUUUUUCAAAAUAAGAUAAAUUUUGAAGGCGGAUAUGGCUACUUCUGAGAACCAAAUACCUGAGCCCCAGGUAUUUAAGCUUCCUAAAUACUGCCUUACCACCCCCCUCCCCUGCCUGCCUAAAGAGAUAGGAAGAGUGCCUGUACUUUGAGCAUCAGCCACAGGACUCACAAUAAUACUAUUGAAGGCUUGAAUAAGACCCACCAAUUUGGCUUGCCCAAACACCACUAAAUACUGAGGAAGAAGUUCAACUUGCUAGUGUAGAGGACCUUAGGGGCAGACCCAGUCCCAAUCUCCCAGGAGUCUUUCCAUCUUAACAGACCCAGCACCUUGGGACCUUCAGCAGCUUGCAGUGUACAACGGGGACUAUAGCUUGACAUGCUUCUGCUCCCAUCCAGCACCCUCCUCCACUUCUUCCUAUAGCUUCCUGCUUUUUCUGAAGCUCAUUCACCAGGGUUCAACUUAGCAGUUGGCAAAAGAAUUAGAAUUAUGUAACUAUAAUUUAUAUACAAGUAAAAGAUGAUUUUAUGGGUUUGGGAUCACUUGGGAGCACCUCUGGGAGCACUCCACGGUAUAGUCGCACCAUCCUGUAUCUGAUGCUUGAGCCCCACCAUUACAGAGUCAUUCUUUUGUGGAGGCUGGACAAUCUUCCAAAAUGUCUUCAGCCAGUCAACAGCAGAUGGGAGCAGCUCAGAUCUGGAAAGGAUUGUUUCCCCAAGAGUCAGUCGGCCUUGGUGGUUGGUGAUGACAGAGAGGAAGCCAUGACAAGACGAUUUUGGAAAUUGUAAUAGGACUGGUAGUUUCAGACCUUACGAGAGACUGGGUCCCCACUCUAGAAUGUUCCACAAAUGGAGUCACCUACCACACUGGAAAUAUAAAAUCGAAUGUAAUCCAGCUACAUUGGAGGUGGGGAUAACCUACACCAACCCGAGCAAACCAGAAACUCAGAGGGAAAGGACUGACCACACACGAGAGCCAGAAGACGCCAUAACUGAGCCUGAGAUCUGGUGAGAACCAGGCCUCCCAUCAACCCAAAACUUCCUUCUCUGGUAAUUGUCCUGUAUGAGCAGGAUAUCAGUUACUUUUCUCAACGGCAAAAUGCUUGACAAAGUCAGCAUGAGAGUACAGUCCAUCAUGGUGCUGAAGGUGUAGCCAGAAGCAGGGUGAAGUACUAGGUCCCAUUUCCUCAUACCCAGGAAGCAGAGAGAGGCAAGUGUGAGCAUUUGGUUGGUUUCCUCCUUUGCCCCAAGAUAACAGCCCGUAGGAUGGUGAUACCCACAUUCAGGGUAGGUCUCCUCAAACUCCUCUUGAAACAUCCUCAGACACAUGCAGAAGAAUGUCUCUAAAUCCAGUCAGGUUGAUAAAUCAUUAAAGGCACUUUUAUGUGUGGCUACUGUGUGAGUUGAAGACAGGAGAGACAGGAAGAACAAAGGUCACGUGUUUACUCUGUUAUUCUGAGGAAUGGGUUAGGGGCAGAGUUUGGAUGAAACGGGCAGUUUCUGCAAGAGACUUUAUAAGCCUCAGGACACAGGUGAAUUCUGGAACCUCACUGGAUCCUCUCACACUUCUGUACCACACUCAGCAGCUCUGGGCACAACCCUCCGUGUUCUCAUAAGGGUCAUUGUCAAUGUAGGUGGCAGCCUGGCAAUCUCAACUUACAGAAGAUGAUCCAGGUGAGGUCGAGGUCAUUGUGAAUGUGCAUGGUGUGGUCUCCUAGAAGCCCCUGGAAGACCUGUUUACAGGCAUUGCAUCAGAAGAGGGAUUGAGGGGGUCCCUGGAGCUUUGCUAUGGAAGCUGCAGCAUCCUAGUGACACCAUCCCAUCUGGACUUGAGAUGCUGGAGGAAAAAGACCCAGAGGCCCAUUAGCCCACGUGCAUGACUCCUCACUGCUCAAUGCAGGCUAUGGCUUUUCAGGUCUGUCGUGGUUGGGGAGGGGAGUCCUGGGAGUCGUUUCAAGAACCCCACUGCACAACCAGGAGAAGGAAAAGAUUCCUCUUUGUCCUCGUUGCCCAGAGACUAAAGGAGGCAGAAGGGAGAGUGUAAGAUUUAGAGGGUCUUUCAGUUGGAAACCGAAUGGAAUGCUUCAAGGCAUUAUUCUUGGACUGAGAAGAAAAGUUACAGACACCGAGUAUAGCCUAAGUUCUCUUGAAAGGAUCGAUGAUAGAUCAGUGAAGAGUGCAGAAGGACGGGCUAGAGGAGAAGACCGAAGAGGGAGAUGAGAGAAGAAAUUAAGCCAAGCAGCAGGCCCAACUUUGCAUGCUGGGAAAUGGGCAGGCACACAAUUUGUCCCGACAUUACCACCCUCAUUCUUCUGCCCUCUUGUCCACGUGCUGUAGUUUUCUCCCUUCCUCUGACAAAGUCCACACUUUUCAGGAUGCAUUAUUAGCUAAACUCUGGUGUCUUUGGAUGGGCAUUGUAUAAGCUAAAUUUCCACAACAGUUUAUAUAUAUUCAAUCAAGUGAGGACUUCCAUACCUGCAAAGAUAUUAUGCAAUCUGAGUAACACCCCUGAGAGAAAGAACUUACUAAGCAGAUAUGACAGACAGUGCUGAGGGCCGGAAUGUAGGUUGAUGGGUGUCAGUUAGGUACAGUGGCUCUGUCCAUAGCCAUUCCCAAGAUGACAGGUGCUCUGGCCUUGGGGAUUGGGUGUACUUUCUUUUUGUACUUGUCCCUGAGGCCCAUAGUCCAACAGCAAAUGCAGCCUUGCUGAUCUGUCACAUCCAGCUGUGUGCUUUGUGUCGUCGUUCUCAUUUAUUAGGGAUUACAAAGAACUUCGUUCUGGGUUAUGUGCUUCAUAGCAGCACCAAACAGCAGGCCUUACCAGCCCUCUACUCCCUGUUGUAUUGAGUGACAUGUUAAGGUCAGAAUGUGUUACACGAGAGAGCCCAAAUUUAAGACCAAGCUAGUGUGGUUCCAAAGUCUGUGACCCUCUACUGGUGGCAUCGCUCGAAAGAAACUUAUGUGAAUUUCAGUACCCUUGAGGAACAUGAUGUAGUCCCUUCAGCUCAAGCCUGUACUCUCCACUUUUCUCAGCCAUCUGCCCUUGACAUACUCAGUGGGUUAAAGAUGGUGCUGGUAAUUUAUUCUGUCAAGAGGACCUGGGAGUGGGGAGUGACUGGGGGACAUGCCACUCCCCCCACCCCACACACACACCCUAGGUCCUCUCUGCCAUUGUGAUACCUCGGAGUGGAAGGUGGUGAGAAUCCCAGCUGCAGAAGACGGCUUAGAUCUACCUGAAAAUGUCCAUCCCAGGAGAAGACAGUCCUUGGCUAUGGCGAGCUGCAGCUGUAUUUGAAUUCUAUGGCUACAGAUCACAGAAGGACUUGGAAACAUCAAAAGCUGUUGUUCAGCUUUGGGAGCACUCAGCAGGGCUCUGGAAAGAUGGUCACUGCAAAGCGCCACGACUCUUAACGGCUCUCCGGAAUCUUCUUAGCACUGGAAGGCUCAUGCAAUGGACUUGCCUCUCAGACUGGCUUGUGACCGUGAUGUCAUGGAUCGUCCGCCUCCAGAUCCUGAUCCCAGUUUUGAAUACAGUGUAUGCUUUCGCACAUGACUUUAGGGCAGAUAAGGGAAGAAAGGUGGAGUUCCUGAGGAUUCAGGCUCUACUUCUAGGUAUUAGUGUGGUUAAGGUUUUGAAAAGUCUACACUCAGACAAUAGUACAUUGGAGAAACCAUCACAGCGAAAUAAAGGCUCCUAUUCACA